AAAGCAAGAAAAAAUUAAAAAAAAAAUCUCUAAGAGCAUCUGCUGUCCUAAUCCCAAAGAAACGAAAGGGGCAGCUUAAUUAAAACCAUGUUCAUUCCACUUCAGAAAGUGCAAACACAAGAUCCCGUAAGAUCCCAUCGGAAGACAAAAGCUCUCAGAUUAUUACACGCUGUUUAAUCGAUGUUCUCAAGAUUUUGCUCAUCAACUCCCAAUAAUUCUUGAAAAUUCUAUGUAAUUCUGCUCCCUCAGGUCUCCUAAGACUGUUCCACGUUUGUCAUACUGUUUUCAUGGCCUCCAAUGGUGCAAAACAGCCACUGCUGUCAGGAUUAGUGGAUUC
rnacentral:misc_RNA from 1 species